AAUUUUGUUGGGGACGGCUAUCACACGGUCAUGACGCACCGCUCCAUGUGCGAGUUGGGGUUGUUACCGCCCGAUAAUGUGGCCGUUUCGCCGGCGCACGUCAGCCUAUCGGGGGGGCACGGGGCGGGCGUUUUAGGCGCACCCCCCGGCAUACCCGCACCACCGUAUAUGGGCUAUCCCGAGGAAAUCGUCUCCGGUCUCAGCGAAGGUUACGGCGAUGACGUCCAUGGCGAGAUGCUGAAACGGACAAUG
rnacentral:rRNA from 1 species